rnacentral:lncRNA from 1 species
AGAAUUGAAUCUGUAAAUACCAACAAAUAUUUUGUUCAAGAUGGCUCGAUUUAACACCAAAGGAUUAGAAUCGUCAGGAAAUUACUAAUGAAAUAUGUUCUGUUAGAGAUAGUUACAUUAAACAUUAAGGAGAUAUCAACAAAUAUUUCGUCAGGGAUAGCUAAAUAAAAUGUUAAAGGAAUACAAGCGUCAAGAAUAUUCCAUCAAAAAUAUUGAAAGAUAUUCCGUUAUUGAUGGGUACAUUGAACAUCAGUGGUUUACCGACAAAAUGUUGGUAAAUAUUCAUGAAUUAUCCAUUGAGGAUGGUUAAAUAAAAUGUUAAGGGACUACUGACGAAAAUUUUGUCGACAAUUUCAUCGUGAAUUGCAUCGAUAGGUUAUAUUACUUAAAUGAUGUAGGCUCAUCCUCUUAUUUUCCCUUUUUUCUUCUUGUUUUCUCUCCCCAGUUGCCCUAAGCCUCCCGACCCACCACCUUGCGCCCUUUGCAGUUAAUUAAGAGUUGGUUAGACGCCACCCACUACUAACCUAGCCCCUCCAUUGCGAAACCACCCUCCCCACUGCCAAUUCCACCCAUUUGAACCCCAACCCACCAUAGAUCUAGUAAUAUUUUUUCAAUAACUAGUAUCCAUC